AUUGAACGCUGGCGGCAGGCCUAACACAUGCAAGUCGAGCGAGCGGCGGACGGGUGAGUAAUGUAUGGGGACUGCCCGAUAGAGGGGGAUAACUACUGGAAACGGUAGCUAAUACCGCAUACUAUCGGAUAACCCAUAUGGGAUUAGCUCGUAGGUGAGGUAAUGGCUCACCUAGGCGACGAUCCCUAGCUGGGUUGAGAGGAUGAUCAGCCACCCUGGGAAUAGGACACGGCCCCGCCUCCUACGGCGGCAGCAGUGGGGAAUAUUGCACAAUGGGCGCAAGCCUGAUGCAUCCAUGCCGCGUGUAUGAAGAAGGCCCUAGGGUUGUAAAGUACUUUCAGUCUGGAGGCUUUACCUACAGAAGAAGCACCGGCUAACUCCGUGCCAGCAGCCGCGGUAAUUC
rnacentral:rRNA from 1 species